UGCAGUCGGACGGGAUUGAGGAGCUUGCUUCUCAUGAGAGUGGCGCACGGGUGCGUAACACGUAUGUAACCUACCUUGUUCAGGGGGAUAGCCUCUCGAAAGAGAGAUUAACACCGCAUAAAAUCAAUUUAUGGCAUCAUAGAAUGAUCAAAUAUUUAUAGGAACAAGAUGGGCAUGCGGAACAUUAGCUAGUUGGUAAGGUAACGGCUUACCAAGGCUACGAUGUUUAGGGGAUCUGAGAGGAUGACCCCCCACACUGGUACUGAGACACGGACCAGACUCCUACGGGAGGCAGCAGUAAGGAAUAUUGGUCAAUGGACGCAAGUCUGAACCAGCCAUGCCGCGUGCAGGAAGACGGCCCUACGGGUUGUAAACUGCUUUUGUACCGGAAUAAACCUUUUCACGUGUGAGAAGCUGAAUGUACGGUAAGAAUAAGGAUCGGCUAACUCCGUGCCAGCAGCCGCGGUAAUACGGAGGAUCCAAGCGUUAUCCGGAUUUAUUGGGUUUAAAGGGUGCGUAGGUGGCCUAUUAAGUCAGGGGUGAAAGACGGUAGCUUAACUAUCGCAGUGCCUUUGAUACUGAUGGGCUUGAAUACACUUGAGGUAGGCGGAAUGUGACAAGUAGCGGUGAAAUGCAUAGAUAUGUCACAGAACACCAAUUGCGAAGGCAGCUUACUAAAGUGUUAUUGACACUGAGGCACGAAAGCGUGGGGAUCAAACAGGAUUAGAUACCCUGGUAGUCCACGCCCUAAACGAUGAAUACUCGAUGUUGGCGAUAUACGGUCAGCGUCUAAGCGAAAGCGUUAAGUAUUCCACCUGGGGAGUACGCCCGCAAGGGUGAAACUCAAAGGAAUUGACGGGGGCCCGCACAAGCGGAG
rnacentral:rRNA from 1 species